rnacentral:rRNA from 1 species
UUGACAGAACUGUGGGGACGCAGAAGGAGAGCACUACCUGGAAUGGAAUCCAGGGGCAAGCACAGGAGGGGUACGGCUGGAAAAACCGCCGUGCAACCCAAAGGUGUGACGCAUACCGAACUAAAGUAGGGAAAUGUGUGAGCCGGCUGCCGAGAAAAGCCGCUAUUGUUUGUACUGUACCCGUACCGUAAACCGACACAGGUGGAUGAGGAGAGAAUCCUAAGGCCGACGGAAGAAGCAUUGCUAAGGAACUCGGCAAAAUGACCCUGUAACUUCGGGAGAAAGGGUGCCUCGAAAGAGGCCGCAGAGAAUAGGCCCAAGCAACUGUUUAGCAAAAACACAGGUCUAUGCAAAACCGCAAGGUGAAGUAUAUGGGCUGACGCCUGCCCGGUGCUGGAAGGUUAAGGGGAGAUGUCAGGAGACGAAGCAUCGAACUUAAGCCCCAGUAAACGGCGGCCGUAACUAUAACGGUCCUAAGGUAGCGAAAUUCCUUGUCGGGUAAGUUCCGACCCGCACGAAAGGCGUAAUGAUUUGGGCGCUGUCUCGGCAAUGCAUCCGGUGAAAUUGAAGUGCCAGUGAAGAUGCUGGCUACCCGCGCCAGGACGGAAAGACCCCAUGGAGCUUUACUCCAGCUUGAUACUAGGAUUCGGUAUUGUAUGUACAGGAUAGGUGGGAGGCUGAGAAAUGGUGACGCCAGUCGCCAUGGAGCCGCUGUUGGGAUACCACCCUUGCAGUACUGGAUUUCUAACCAGCAGCCGUGAUCCGGCUGGGGGACAAUGUCAGGUGGGGAGUUUGACUGGGGCGGUCGCCUCCGAAAGGGUAUCGGAGGCGCUCAAAGGUUCCCUCAGAAUGGUCGGAAACCAUUCGAAGAGUGCAAAGGCAGAAGGGAGCUUGACUGCGACACCGACGGGUGGGGCAGGUACGAAAGUAGGACUUAGUGAUCCGGUGGUAUUAAGUGGGAAUGCCAUCGCUCAACGGAUAAAAGCUACCCUGGGAUAACAGGCUUAUCACUCCCAAGAGUUCACAUCGACGGAGUGGUUUGGCACCUCGAUGUCGGCUCAUCGCAUCCUGGGGCUGUAGUAGGUCCCAAGGGUUGGGCUGUUCGCCCAUUAAAGCGGUACGCGAGCUGGGUUCAGAACGUCGUGAGACAGUUCGGUCCCUAUCCGGCGUGGGCGUAGGAUAUUUGAGAGGAGCUGACCUUAGUACGAGAGGACCGGGUUGGACUGACCUCUGGUGCACCGGUUGUCAUGCCAAUGGCACAGCCGGGUAGCCAAGUCGGGAAGGGAUAAACGCUGAAGGCAUCUAAGCGUGAAGCCCCCCUCAAGAUGAGAUAUCCCCCGCAUAAGCGGUAAGACCCCUUGAAGACGACGAGGUAGAUAGGGCAGAGGUGGAAGUGCAGUAAUGUAUGGAGCUGACUGCUACUAAUAGGUCGAAGGCUUAACU